CCAGCCCACAAUGACUGACAGCCCUGCUGUACCUGCACAAAAACCUAAUGCAAACAACGCUUGCUUCAUUACAUUACAAUAGUACAUAUAAAUGCGCAUGAAAACACUUCUACAGACAUCACACAUGGGACGGAUGUGGCAGCCAGACGGUGCACCAGCCUCCAGAGAAUGUGUACGCCAUGAAAGGCGACUCAGUGUCGCUGGACUGCAGCUAUGAAAACUCUGGAAGCAACGACUACAUCUUCUGGUACAAACAGGACGGGCAAGCGGCACCAAAGUUCAUUCUGAGCCGCUUCAGGAUCGGUCAGGGCAAGACUGAGAGCAGCUUUGAAAAAAGGUUCAGCUGCAGCAUCAAUGACACCGCCAAGCGAGCUCCUCUGAAGAUCCAAGACGUGCAGAUGAACGACUCUGCAGUCUUCUACUGCGCCAUGCAGCCCACAAUGACUGACAUCUCUGCUGCACCCGCACAAAAAUCUCUGUAGGCUCCUCAUCCCACUGCGGCUGUUUGAGAGCUGGUUCUGAUGAGGUUUUCACAGCUUUUCCUUCUGACCAGACUCCAAAAGUUUGCUGGGCUUAACUGUCGAGUUAAGUUUGAGUUUAUUUCGAACAUGCAUGCAUACAACAUGAUACAUCACAAUUUCCAGUUUCUCUAUUCAACAUGUCCGAAAAGGAGUAGGAAGAAGCAGAGCUUAUUUAAUCCUACCCCUUUUCUUUUACAUAGCAGUUGCUAACACUUUUGUUCGCUUCCUGUUCUCAAUUUAUUCACAAUAUACUCUAUAAGUAAUAACAAUAAAAAUAAAUAAUACUUAGUGAAGUAAGUUAUAUAUCAUAUGGUGAGAUAAAUAAGAUUAUCUAGAAAAUGAAUAGAUGGAAGAAAUAAAUUCAAAAUGUUUAUCAUGGUUUUUCUUCUUUGUACUUUGUAAACACUUUAAAUUUGAAGAGUUUCGUGAAGUGGAUCAUAUUAGUACAUUGUGUGAUUUAUUUGCUUAAUCCAUUCCAUAAUUUAAUUCCACAUACUGAUAUACUGAAGGUCUUAAGUUGUGGCUACGAAAGUAGUUUACCACCACCAGGUGUGAAUGAAUGAUGGGUUUUUAACAUGUAAAGCGACUUUGGGUACUUAGAAAAGCGCUAUAUAAAUCCCAGGUAUUAUUAUUAAGUGUUGUACGUGCAUACAAAUGUUUGAAAUUUUAUUUUUCUCUAAGAUUAUAUUUCUCCUCUUUUUUGGAAGAAUUGUUGUACGUUCUUGGGUAGCAGAUUGUAGCUUGCUUUGUGCAUAAUUUUAUCUGUUUGCAAAUUCACUGUAGUGGAAUUUCAGUAUUUUCGAUCCAAUAAAUA